rnacentral:rRNA from 1 species
CUACGGGAGGCAGCAGUGGGGAAUAUUGCACAAUCGGCGCAAGCCUGAUGCAGCAACGCCGCGUGAGGGAUGAAGGCCUUCGGGUUGUAAACCUCUUUUAGCAGGGAAGAAGCGAAAGUGACGGUACCUGCAGAAAAAGCACCGGCUAACUACGUGCCAGCAGCCGCGGGAAUACGUAGGGUGCAAGCGUUGUCCGGAAUUAUUGGGCGUAAAGAGCUCGUAGGCGGUUUGUCACGUCUGCUGUGAAAAUCCAAGGCUCAACCUUGGACUUGCAGUGGGUACGGGCAGGCUAGAGUGCGGUAGGGGAGAUGGGAAUUCCUGGUGUAGCGGUGGAAUGCGCAGAUAUCAGGAGGAACACCAAUGGCGAAGGCACAUCUCUGGGCCGUAACUGACGCUGAGGAGCGAAAGCGUGGGGAGCGAACAGGAUUAGAUACCCGAGUAGUC